CCUACGGGUGGCAGCAGUGAGGAAUAUUGGUCAAUGGGCGUAAGCCUGAACAAGCCAAGUCGCGUGAGGGAUGAAGGUUCUAUGGAUCGUAAACCUCUUUUAUAAGGGAAGAAAGGGCGGGACGGGUCCCGUUUUGUAUGUACCUUAUGAAUAAGGAUCGGCUAACUCCGGGCCAGCAGCCGCGGUAAUAGGGAGGAUCCGAGCGUUAUACGGAUGUAGUGGGUUGAAAGGGUGCGUAGGCGGCUUUUUAAGUCAGCGGUGAAAGUCUGUGGCUCAACCAUAGAAUAGCCGUUGAAACUGGGCGGCUUGAUUAUGUUUGAGGCAGGCGGAAUGCGUGGUGUAGCGGUGAAAUGCUUAGAUAUCACGCAGAACCCCGAUUGCGAAGGCAGCCUGCCAAGCCAUGACUGACGCUGAUGCACGAAAGCGUGGGGAUCAAACAGGAUUAGAUACCCGGGUAGUC
rnacentral:rRNA from 1 species